rnacentral:SRP_RNA from 2 species
GCUGGGCAUAGUGGCGGCGCCUGUAGUCCCAGCUACUCGGGAGGCUGAGGCAGGAGGAUGGUGUGAACCCGGGAGGCGAGCUUGCAGUGAGCCGAGAUCACGCCACUGCACUCCAGCCUGGAUGACAGAUUAAAAAAAAUUUUUUUUUAAUUUUUUGAGACAGUCUUUUUUUUUUUUUGAGAUGGAGUCUCACUCUGUCGCCCAGGCUGGAUGGAGUGCAGUGGUGCCAUCUCGGCUCACUGCAAGCUCUGCCUCCCAGGUUCACGCCAUUCUCCUGCCUCAG